UACGUAGGGGGGCAAGCGUUGUCCGGAAUCAUUGGGCGUAAAGAGCGUGUAGGCGGCCCGGUAAGUCCGCUGUGAAAGUCGGGGGCUCAACCCUCGAAUGCCGGUGGAUACUGUCGGGCUAGAGUGCGGAAGAGGCGAGUGGAAUUCCUGGUGUAGCGGUGAAAUGCGCAGAUAUCAGGAGGAACACCGAUUGCGAAGGCAGCUCGCUGGGACGUAACUGACGCUGAGACGCGAAAGCGUGGGGAGCAAACAGG
rnacentral:rRNA from 1 species